rnacentral:rRNA from 1 species
AUGCACGCUGGCGGCGUGCCUCAUCCCUGCAAGUCGCGCGAACAGACGAGGAGCUUGCUCCUCUGACGUUAGCGGCGGACGGGUGAGUAACACGUGGAUAACCUACCUAUAAGACUGGGAUAACUUCGGGAAACCGGAGCUAAUACCGGAUAAUAUAUUGAACCGCAUGGUUCAAUAGUGAAAGACGGUUUUGCUGUCACUUAUAGAUGGAUCCGCGCCGCAUUAGCUAGUUGGUAAGGUAACGGCUUACCAAGGCGACGAUGCGUAGCCGACCUGAGAGGGUGAUCGGCCACACUGGAACUGAGACACGGUCCAGACUCCUACGGGAGGCAGCAGUAGGGAAUCUUCCGCAAUGGGCGAAAGCCUGACGGAGCAACGCCGCGUGAGUGAUGAAGGUCUUCGGAUCGUAAAACUCUGUUAUUAGGGAAGAACAAAUGUGUAAGUAACUAUGCACGUCUUGACGGUACCUAAUCAGAAGGCCACGGCUAACUACGUG